rnacentral:rRNA from 2 species
GGCGCGCCUAACACAUGCAAGUCGAACGAGAAAGCCCCUUCGGGGGCGAGUACAGUGGCGAACGGGUGAGUAACACGUGGGUUACCUGCCCUUGAGUGGGGAAUAACUCCGGGAAACUGGAGCUAAUACCGCAUACGCCCCUUCGGGGGGAAAGCUUUAUGCGCUCGAGGAUGGGCCCGCGCUCGAUUAGCUUGUUGGUGGGGUAAUGGCCUACCAAGGCAUCGAUCGAUAGCCGGCCUGAGAGGGCACACGGCCACACUGGCACUGAGACACGGGCCAGACUCCUACGGGAGGCAGCAGUGGGGAAUCUUGGACAAUGGGGGAAACCCUGAUCCAGCGACGCCGCGUGAUUGACGAAGGCCUUCGGGUCGUAAAGAUCUUUCAGCGGGGACUAUGAUGAAGGUACCCGCAGAAGCAGGAGCGGCUAACUACGUGCCAGCAGCCGCGGUAAUAC